rnacentral:lncRNA from 1 species
AGCAGGUGUGCCGAGGGCCCGCGCGCGGCGGGCCUCGUGCAGGGCGAGGUGACCGCCGGCACGCGCGUCCGCCUCGCGGCGCUUACGCGCUUCACCCGCCGCGGCGGCAGCAGCCCAACGGGCCCGCGGAGCGAGAGGGGCCGCAGGCUGAGGCGCGGUGGGCUUAGCCGAGGCAGCCCCCGGCGGCCGGGAGCGGUAUCGAGCUUCUGGACUUUCGGGCUUCUGCAUCGCUUCGGCCGGGACGCAGCUUCCCCGGACGCCAGCUGGAGGGUGUGACUGUGAGCCAGGCAUCGUUGGCUUUUUCUCUGUGUUGGCUUCUGAACAAAGGUGCUGCUGAAAGGGUUGGUGCUGUUUUCACUCAGUCUGCAUCUGAUAUAACACAGCUCUUCUUAGACUGUGCAUACGCUUGUUGAGAACACCAUUCCUGAGGGAAGCAGCUGAUGUGCAUGUUUUC